GACGAACGCUGGCGGCGUGCUUAACACAUGCAAGUCGAACGGAAAGGCCCUGCUUUUGUGGGGUGCUCGAGUGGCGAACGGGUGAGUAACACGUGAGUAACCUGCCCUUGACUUUGGGAUAACUUCAGGAAACUGGGGCUAAUACCGGAUAGGAGCUCCUGCUGCAUGGUGGGGGUUGGAAAGUUUCGGCGGUUGGGGAUGGACUCGCGGCUUAUCAGCUUGUUGGUGGGGUAGUGGCUUACCAAGGGUUUGACGGGUAGCCGGCCUGAGAGGGUGACCGGCCACAUUGGGACUGAGAGACGGACCAGACGCCUACGGGAGGCAGAAGUGGGGAAUAUUGCACAGUGGGGGGAAGCCUGAUGCAGCAACGCCGCGUGCGGGAUGACGGCCUUCGGGUUGUAAACCGCUUUCGCCUGUGACGAAGCGUGAGUGACGGUAAUGGGUAAAGAAGCACCGGCUAACUACGUG
rnacentral:rRNA from 1 species